rnacentral:lncRNA from 1 species
UUUUUUAUUUUAAUUUAUUUUGUUAUUUGUAUUUCUUUUCUUUUGUGUAUUGUUUCUUUUCCUGUGCAGGUCACCCACUCAAAAAUUACAUUACAACUUCGAGCAUUAAAGCCAAGGUGGACGACCUAACAAUACCAUCAUGAAUGAUCACGCUAUUAGGGAAGUUCAAUAACCUUCUAAUCUUUAGUAUUGGGCUACACAUUGAGGGCAAUAUGUAAUUUAAAUGUG